rnacentral:lncRNA from 1 species
CUAACAAGAUCCCAGCUGAAGCCAAUGCUGCUGCUCACAGACCACACUUUCUAUAGCAAACAUUAAACUCUGGUGGAGGCGGUAAUCAAGAGGACGUGACCACCGGUUAACCAGCGAGCUUGACCAGGGCAAUCAGAGACUCCUCCCUCUUCCUGUGUCCUUGGAAUGUGCCGGAAGGUGAGUUCUGCGCACCAUUCCCACAGUAGGAGCCGUUUUCAAGGAUGCAGCCUGGAGGGAGUAAGGUGUCCUUGAAACCAUCCGGACUGAAUACUUGGCUGAAGCCAGUUAAGGAUCUAGUCACUGGGAACCUAUUCUAGCCUGGAGUCCAUAGAAGACUCAGUUUGGUGACAGCCUAUGAGCAGAUGCCUUAUUUGCAAACACACUCCCGGGAAACAAAGAAUAAUGAGAAAAGAAGAAUGAGACCAGAAAAGAGGAAGAACAAAUAAAAGGAGUUGUGUUUCCGAGCUGUCCGCAGCUCUGUAACCACCAGAGCUGAUCAUUCAGUCCUGUGGGCAGCAUCCUGAGAAACUUUACAAACUAUUGUUUCUUUGAGCAGACCAUCUUGGGACAGCAAGGAAUUAUUGCUGUGGCUUUGCCAGCCAGAUUUCAGAAGCAAGGCAAGUGCGGGAACCUGAGAUGGCCUGGAAUGAUGUAUAACUCAGACUCUGUGGCAGAAAAGAGUCAACAUUAACUGGAUAAAUGAGACAGGGAUUUCCGUGGCUUACAUAACCUUUGUCAGGGCUGAGGAACAUCAUGAUGCCUGCGCUGU